rnacentral:rRNA from 1 species
GACGAACGCUGGCGGCGUGCUUAACACAUGCAAGUCGAACGGAAAGGCCCUGCUUUUGUGGGGUGCUCGAGUGGCGAACGGGUGAGUAACACGUGAGUAACCUGCCCUUGACUUUGGGAUAACUUCAGGAAACUGGGGCUAAUACCGGAUAGGAGCUCCUGCUGCAUGGUGGGGGUUGGAAAGUUUCGGCGGUUGGGGAUGGACUCGCGGCUUAUCAGCUUGUUGGUGGGGUAGUGGCUUACCAAGGCUUUGACGGGUAGCCGGCCUGAGAGGGUGACCGGACACAUUGGGACUGAGAUACGGCCCAGACUCCUACGGGAGGCAGCAGUGGGGAACAUUGCACAAUGGGCGGAAGCCUGAUGCGGCAGCGCCGCGUGCGGGAUGACGGCCUUCGGGUUGUAAACCGCUUUCGCCUGUGACGAAGCGUGAGUGACGGUAAUGGGUAAAGAAGCACCGGCUAACUACGUG